AAAACAUGGCUCCUUGAAACCUAAUUAUAGGGAGUCGGACCUGCCCAGUGAAUUUUUAACGGCCGCGGUACUCUGACCGUGCAAAGGUAGCAUAAUCAUUUGCCUUAUAAUUGAAGGCUAGUAUGAAUGGUUUGACAUGAAUGUAGCUGUCUCUUUAUAAUUUAGUAGAAUUUUAUUUUCAGGUGAAGAAGCCUGUAUUUAAUUAAAAGACAAGAAGACCCUAUCGAGCUUGAAAAGAAUUAAUAGAAUUAGAAUUAAUGUAGCUAAAAAAUUGUCUAUUAUAUAUUUUAGUUGGGGCGACUAAGGAACAUAAAAAGCUUCCUUUAUAAAUUGUUUAAAUCAAACUAGAAUUGAUCCAAAAUAUUUUGAUUAAAGGAAUUAGUUACCGUAGGGAUAACAGCAUUAUCUUUUUUAAGAGCUCAUAUCGAAAAAAAGGUUUGUGACCUCGAUGUUGGACCAGAAUAUCCUAAAGAUGCAGCAGUCUUUAAGGGUUGGUCUGUUCGACCAUUAAAAUUCUACGUGA
rnacentral:rRNA from 1 species